UCCUUGUGUUACUUAAACAAGAAGGUAGAAUCUUCGAAAUCAUAGUCUGAUUAUAUUGUCGAUCAAAUUCCACUCCCAGCAUCUCCAAUGAUUAAUGUUGAACCAAAGCGGAAUGUAUCAUCCAAGAGUAACUAAGUGGUAAAUCAGUCGUUUGUCCAUAUCAUGCCGCCACCAUUGCGAUGAAAUCCAACCGGUUAUGAUACCGCCAUAAGGAUGCCUCACCAAUUAAGAUGGAACUUCCAACGCGACGCCUUCAAGAAGGUUGCAACACUAAUUUAGAACAUCGUCUUCAUCGCUAUUCCAGAAAUAUGUGCUGUCGCCGGCCACCUAGCUACAUCCAAAAUAUGUAUAAUUCAUUGGCUUCCCAAAUUUUAAUAGGAUUGCUUUAGGCAACAAACAAAACAGGUUCCAAUUUCAGAGUAUAAAGUAUUGGAUAUGGGACUUACACGUCACUCUAUUUCUUGCCUUCAUGUUCUUUGUUCACUAUUGGUUGACUACAUCUAUAUAUAUCGAAGUAAUUAAAUAUAUAUAUAGGUUUUGUAUCUAUAGAUACACAUUCAUAUAUAUGCACUCGAUAUAUAUAGACGCACAUCUUCUCUUCCAAAAGCUGGAAUACUCGAUCCUCACAGUCACACAGCUAGCAACGCCGGCGGCCAUGCAACCACUCGCUGCCGGCGGCGGCGUCUCUUGGCCGUUGUACGCCGCCACCGUCGCGGCGGCGCUGCUCGUCACCGCCAUCGUCCUGCGGCUCGCCGCGCGGUCGACGGCGGCCGCCUGCAAGGCACGUCCCCCCGCCGGGUCUCUCGGCUGGCCGCUCGUCGGCGAGACGCUGCAGUUCAUCUCCGCCGCCUACUCCUCCCGCCCCGAGUCCUUCGUCGAGAAGCGCUGCCGCCGGUGAGCACCACCGCCGCCGCCAUGGCACCGGCAGCGCGCGUACGUAGUAGCUGCGUCUGUGGUGCUGAAAAUUUCUCUUGUUCUUGUUGAUUGAUUGAUUCCGUAGGUACGGGAAGGUGUUCAGGUCGCACCUGUGGGGGUCGCCGGCGGU
rnacentral:lncRNA from 1 species